rnacentral:rRNA from 1 species
UACGGGGGGGGCAAGCGUUGUUCGGAAUUACUGGGCGUAAAGGGCUCGUAGGCGGCCAACUAAGUCAGACGUGAAAUCCCUCGGCUUAACCGGGGAACUGCGUCUGAUACUGGAUGGCUUGAGGUUGGGAGAGGGAUGCGGAAUUCCAGGUGUAGCGGUGAAAUGCGUAGAUAUCUGGGGGAACACCGGUGGCGAAGGCGGCAUCCUGGACCAAUUCUGACGCUGAGGAGCGAAAGCCAGGGGAGCAAACGGG